rnacentral:misc_RNA from 1 species
AAAAAAAAAAAAUCGUUUCAUGCAGAACCAACUUAAUCUCAAUGUUUUAGUAAAAUUUAUUGCAAUCGAGCCCUGUUUUAUCCUCGCCGAGCAAUCGACACGUUCAAAUGAAGGAAGUGAAUGUAUCUCGGGGCCAUAAGGGACCCCACUUCCACUUUUAUGUACGCUCCUGAAACGAACUGACGGCGAUUGCUAGAACGACGAGAGCAGUAGAAUCGUUACUGUAGCACCAAGCCAACUCUAUAGUUAGAAUUCAGCGUUGAAUAAGAUAACUGCGCCUGGAUCAGGGGUCACGUCGACCCCACGUGCACUUCCAAAUUAUUUUUUUCUCGAGCAUUACAGUGUCUCCGCCACAAGGUUCAUUUUCCAAGGCCAUUGGACCUACAGGAACGUGCCUCGAAGUUUCCGUUAAAAUCCAGAUCGACUGCUGGCAACGAAAAAUUAUUGAAAAUUCGAUUCUCAUUUUCUCGCGUUAAUUUAUUUCGAUCGCAUUUUAGAGAAAAACUCAAAUGACGAAAUUUGUGCGUCUCGAUGUCCUCUACGAAUAAAGUCCUGUGCAAAAAUAUCUUCAGAUUGUUAUUUAAGGCGGUAUUCACGGUUGACUGCACUCCCUAUUUUCGUGUUUCU